rnacentral:misc_RNA from 1 species
AGAUGAGUAUAUCUGGGCUAGGUCCUAGUACCCUGGAGAACCAAUGUAUAACUAGAUAUCUCUACUAUCUAGAAUCAGUCUGUGCCACAUAUAUUCAUCUCACCACAAAAGAUGAGUCUGGACUAUUUAAAGCUCUAGCCGAAAAGCUGCUUCCAAUGCUUAAAGAGCAGCUCGGGAGCAGCAUGAGUGGAACUGUCAGCUCUAUCUUCAGACAAGAGAUGCUUCGAAGAAUUUUCUCCGGUGAGUUCCCUAGCUCCAGGUAUAGAUUAGAGUACACGGAGCUCAAUACAGAAUACGAGAAUAUUAUUCAACCGCUCACAGAGGGCCGAGAUAUUCUGAGGCAAAUGAAAAAACAUGGGGAGAAAUGUUGUAGUCCCUGCUGUACUGGAGUUUAUAUAGUUGAGACAAUGGCGUGCGUGGUUAUGAACGAUGAAAUCCAAGAGUUAAAGAUAGAUUCUAAUAUACAGAAUAAAAUAGUUAGUAAACAGAGACCAGUCAGGAAUUAUAUUGGAUUCGACAUUCCCUCAAUACUUUCACAUUAUCAGGCAUCCGUAAAACAGAGUCCCAGGCGACAUAACAUUCCACUGGAGAGAUUUAUUAUUCACAAUACAGAAUUACAUUCCCACGAGUUCUCCUCUAUGCAUAUUCGAUCGGAGCUCAUUCUUGGUGUUUAUCAGGAAACACAAGAUUAUCUAGAUUAUCCCACUAUCCUCUCAGCGUCAGCGGACCCUGGUGAAUCUGUAUCGACUAGACCAUACUCGGAGGACCUCUACCUCAACAUUGCACAUUUAUUUAGUGCAGAGACUGGUGCCAGAUUUCCCCGUCUUACAGAGAUCACAUUUGGAUCAGAGCUGGGUGUAAAACUCUCAAACCUACGAGACAGAUAUGGAGAGUUGGUGAUAGUUAAACUUUUUCAAGGAAUUGGACACUUUGUACCAAACCUGAAAAUAUUUGAUGUUAGUGCAUCUCUAAGUGUGCCGACUGAAGCAUUUAUUCAUCUAUUUCUUCGCGAUGCCAACAACACUCUCCAUCGGUACAUGUAUCUUCCGCCUUAUCAGAAAGUUGGUGAUAUUGUCUGCUACAAGUAUGAUAGUGCACCUGAGGAGUUUUAUAAACAUAGGACUGAUCAAUACUGUCCAUGGUGUCGCGAUGAAUGGGGACAAAAUAGUCUGAGACCGGGUUGCGUUUUUUUAGCGAAUCCUAUACCUAUUGUUGAUGAUAGGCUUUACCAAGAUAUAGAAACUAAAUACCCAGAACUAGGCCCAAUGUAUCUUGCGAAUGUUGUUCGAGCAAGUGAUUUCUGCAAAUCAAUUCAUGAACCAAAUCUAGUACUCCGGCGUCCCCCAGGGCCCAAACCUUGGCAGUCUGGUUUUGUUCUUCCGGAGGGCAUGCCUGAACCUAUUGUUGAGGAAAGGCUUCCCCCUAAUAGAGAGCUACGUUUUUAUCCCCUGAAGGAAGGAGAGAAGGUUGAAUAUAUUCCAGAUCUAGAAGAUGGCCGAACAAGGAAUAUUUUGUGCGCGUCCCUCCAGGUUCUAAAUAUUGGACAGAUGGGGCCGAGGCAUGAAAUCCUUCCUUUCCUUCUCCUGGCUCUACCACAGAUCAAGAGUCUGGGAUCUAUGGAUGUGUUACGAGGAUUGAAGUUUAUGAAAGACAAUCCAAACAUUCAAUCAGAUUUCAAAUCAGGUUUAGAGGAGGUAUCUAUAGACGUGGUUACCAAACACUAUAGUCACGAUUGGUUAACCGCUACACGAUGGGCCCCGGACCCAAUAAAAAAAGAUGUUGAAGAAUUUUACAAACUUCAGGAUAAUUCAAAUCUAUCAAUUGAAGAGAAAAGAUCUGAAAUUCGAGAUGAUGUUCAACUGCUUUGCAAAGCUUGCCCCAACAUAUCCAAAAUCAGGCUAUUUCUUUAUGCUGAGGAUUUCCCGAAUCUAUUAAAGCCUGAAUAUACCUGUAUCUGGGAGGGGCUUAGUACCCUGACCAGGUUAACAGAGGUCACCAUACUUUGCAUUGACUGGGAGCACACUACUGCACUUCUAACGGUGGUGGGAAGUAAGUUGACGCGUGUUUGUGUAUCUGUGUGCCCGGGUAGAACUGCUCUGGACGAUACUUCUCCCCUUGGUCCUUCUCUAGACAGAAUACUCUCACUCUGCACCAACCUACAGUCUUUAAAGGUUGAUGUAAGCGGGGCCCCUCUCAACAUCUCCCAAGGAUUCCUGACACCUAAACUUGAUCUACUUAAACUCAAGACUGUAUCUGUGGGUAAUUAUCUAACGAAGGAAGCAUUUGAAUGGUUGUGGGAAUCAGCUGUGAAUCUGGAGGAAAUAUUGAUCCCUACAAUAUGUACAACUAACAUCAUACAAAUCUUUAAUCCUCAUACAUACCAGGUUUACUUUACCAAGCAGAUGUUUGAACAACUCCUCAAGAAGAACAGAAUGAAGAAAAUGGUCAAAAUGAAGGCAUUUUUAUGUAUAGCUGAUAUGCAAGCAGCUGAGUAUUUGGUUGAUACACUCAGUGAGACUUGUCCUCACCUGGAGGAAAUUGGGAAACUAACAAUAAGGGUUAAACUGGAAGAAGAACAUUACCCUGAACAUGACGAUCUACUAACAGCGCUGGCUGAGGUUAUGCGGCAAAUAAGCAGGUUCAGGCAGAAAAGUCAAACUCUGUAUAGAUCCAGUAGGAAACUCAUGGUGAACUAUGUUUGGGAGAAAACUGGAUUGUUUAAUUCAUUUGGAGAAAUAGAUCCGUUAAACGCUCUUAUUGAUCCUCCAGUGCAACCAUAGAAACAGAAAACAGAAAACAGAAAACAGAAAACGGAAAACAGAAAACGGAAACCAGAAAACAGAAAACAGAAAACAGAAAACAGAAAACAGAAGACAGCAGACAACAGGAAUUUGGGGGCCGCUAAUAGAGAACGAGAGAGAACAAACCAUAACCAUAAAACCAAGAUAACACAGACAAAAGGAAAUAAAAGACAGGGCAUAUAAGAAGAUAAAACUGAAAAUUUAAGAAUUCCAAUCAGACAACAUAGUUUUUCUAAUAAAAUUUCAUCUUAGUCAACUCCAACAUAAAAAAUUUGCAGAUCGUCAAAUUCAACAACUUUUCCCGAUACAAUUUUUCAAUUUUAACCAGCCAGUGGCCGAAUUUAAAGAAUUUUUGCGGCAGUUUAAAUUUAAGCCGUGGC